rnacentral:rRNA from 1 species
UACGUAGGUGGCGAGCGUUGUCCGGAUUUACUGGGCGUAAAGAGCGCGCAGGCGGCUGGUCAAGUCCGAUGUGAAAGCUCCCGGCUUAACUGGGAAAUUGCAUCGGAAACUGAUCGGCUGGAAGGUGGGAGAGGGUAGCGGAAUUCCCGGUGUAGUGGUGAAAUGCGUAGAUAUCAGGAAGAACACCAACGGCGAAGGCAGCUCGCUGGGACGGAACUGACGCUAAGGCGCGAAAGCGUGGGGAGCGAACAGG